rnacentral:lncRNA from 1 species
GGAAUGUCUUCCUCCAACAUCUGUUUUUUAUUUCUUAGAAGCUGCUAUUCCAUUCAACUGCAAAAAUACUUGUAGUGACCCUAGAAAUAGAAUGGAGAAAUAGAGAGAAACAGAUUUCUGUAAAACAAUUACUUCUCUGCUUAUGCCAUUGCCAUCUUGAGAACUCUACUGCUACCACGAUCCAAAGUCCAAACAUGCAAAUGACUGAUAUUACUAUUUAUUCCAAGAAUAGGAACUGUUAUAUUUGUAGAGCCCCUGAGAAGGUACUUGUGGGAGGAAAGCCCAUGUAAAGGAGAUAAUAAUAAAUACACGGAGCUGGUUACAUACCCUUCUCACUUUUUACAACAGCCGCCUAUCCAGAUUUUUUUUCCUCCUAUCAUGUCACUGAGUUCCAAGGCCAAGUGUGCAUUCUGACCACUGCUUUUUAGAUUUUUACAGCUUCCUCUUUAGAGUCCUUCAAAUGGUAAAUUGCCUUUUUUGGCAAUGACAGGCUCUUCACCCAAUAUUUACUUCCCUUUUUUAUUUGCUACAAUUUUUAUCAUUCAUCUCAACUUUAAACUUCCAUACCAAACACUUGGGAAUAGGAAAAAUACUUGUUGCUAAUAUUACAUCAUUUUUCCCUUUCUGUCGUCAUUCAAACACCUCCUGAAAUAUAACAUCCUCCCUAAAAUCUUUAUAAUUGGAAUGGAGGCACUGAUUCCUCAUGCCUGCCCAUCAAUUAUACAUAUUACCCAUAUAGAUUUUAUAUGUUAUUUCUUAAUAACUAUGAUACUUUAUGCACUUUACCCCUUUUUUAUUUGUGUAUAAACACUGGUUGAAUUUGUACGUUGUAUUUAUGUUUUCUUCUUUGUUGCUUCAUACAUUCCCUAGGGCAUAGGCUAGGACUUUAAAAG